rnacentral:piRNA from 1 species
UAAGAUUGGGGUAUUUUUUAGAGGUUUA